AGAGUUUGAUCAUGGCUCAGGAUGAACGCUAGCGGCAGGCUUAAUACAUGCAAGUCGAGGGGUAACAUGGGUAGCAAUACCUGAUGACGACCGGCAAACGGGUGCGGAACACGUACGCAACUUCCCCAAAACUGGUGAAUAGCCCUCCGAAAGGAGGAUUAAUACACCGUAAGAUAUCUGAGUGGCAUCACUUGGCUAUUAUAGCUCCGGCGGUUUUGGAUGGGCGUGCGCCUGAUUAGGUAGUUGGCGGGGUAACGGCCCACCAAGCCUGCGAUCAGUAACUGGUGUGAGAGCACGACCAGUCACACGGGCACUGAGACACGGGCCCGACUCCUACGGGAGGCAGCAGUAAGGAAUAUUGGUCAAUGGACGAAAGUCUGAACCAGCCAUGCCGCGUGAAGGAUGAAGGCCCUCUGGGUUGUAAACUUCUUUUAUAGGGGACGAAAAAAGGGAAUUCUUUCUCACUUGACGGUACCCUAGGAAUAAGCACCGGCUAACUCCGUGCCAGCAGCCGCGGUAAUACGGAGGGUGCAAGCGUUAUCCGGAUUCACUGGGUUUAAAGGGUGCGUAGGUGGGCUUGUAAGUCAGCGGUGAAAUCUCCGGGCUUAACCCGGAAACUGCCAUUGAUACUAUAGGUCUUGAAUUAUCUGGAGGUGAGCGGAAUAUGUCAUGUAGCGGUGAAAUGCUUAGAUAUGACAUAGAACACCAAUUGCGAAGGCAGCUCACUACGGAUCGAUUGACACUGAGGCACGAAAGCGUGGGGAUCAAACAGGAUUAGAUACCCUAGUAGUCC
rnacentral:rRNA from 1 species